rnacentral:rRNA from 1 species
AUUGAACGCUGGCGGCAGGCUUAACACAUGCAAGUCGAGCGAGCGGCGGACGGGUGAGUAAUGUCUGGGAAUCUGCCUGAUGGAGGGGGAUAACUACUGGAAACGGUAGCUAAUACCGCAUACUAUCGGAUGAACCCAUAUGGGAUUAGCUAGUAGGUGGGGUAAUGGCUCACCUAGGCGACGAUCCCUAGCUGGUCUGAGAGGAUGAUCAGCCACACUGGGACUGAGACACGGCCCAGACUCCUACGGGAGGCAGCAGUGGGGAAUAUUGCACAAUGGGCGCAAGCCUGAUGCAGCCAUGCCGCGUGUGUGAAGAAGGCCUUAGGGUUGUAAAGCACUUUCAGCGGGGAGGCGUUACUCGCAGAAGAAGCACCGGCUAACUCCGUGCCAGCAGCCGCGGUAAUAC